UACGAAGGGUGCAAGCGUUGUUCGGAAUCAUUGGGCGUAAAGCGCGCGCAGGCGGAUUUGCAAGUCAGAUGUGAAAUCUUAGGGCUCAACCCUGAAACUGCGUCUGAAACUGCUAGUCUAGAAUGUCGGAGGGGGUAGGGGAAUUUCACGUGUAGGGGUAAAAUCCGUAGAGAUGUGAAGGAACACCGGGGGCGAAGGCGCCUACCUGGACGACUAUUGACGCUGAGGCGCGAAAGCGUGGGGAGCAAACAGG
rnacentral:rRNA from 1 species